GGGUAGUUUGACUGGGGCGGUCUCCUCCUAAAGAGUAACGGAGGAGCACGAAGGUCAGCUAAUCCUGGUCGGACAUCAGGAGGUUAGUGCAAUGGCAUAAGCUGGCUUGACUGCGAGCGUGACGGCGCGAGCAGGUGCGAAAGCAGGUCAUAGUGAUCCGGUGGUUCUGAAUGGAAGGGCCAUCGCUCAACGGAUAAAAGGUACUCCGGGGAUAACAGGCUGAUACCGCCCAAGAGUUCAUAUCGACGGCGGUGUUUGGCACCUCGAUGUCGGCUCAUCACAUCCUGGGGCUGAAGUAGGUCCCAAGGGUAUGGCUGUUCGCCAUUUAAAGUGGUACGCGAGCUGGGUUUAGAACGUCGUGAGACAGUUCGGUCCCUAUCUGCCGUGGGCGCUGGAGAAUUGAGGGGGGCUGCUCCUAGUACGAGAGGACCGGAGUGGACGCAUCACUGGUGUUCGGGUUGUCAUGCCAAUGGCAUUGCCCGGUAGCUAAAUGCGGAAGAGAUAAGUGCUGAAAGCAUCUAAGCACGAAACUUGCCCCGAGAUGAGUUCUCCCUGA
rnacentral:rRNA from 1 species